rnacentral:misc_RNA from 1 species
UUUUAGAUUUUGAGUUCUUUCCUCUUUUUUCCUUCAAAUCUGCAAGAGAGGUUUAUCAGCAAAUUAGAUAACGCAAAAGAGGAAGUUGGCCAAGUCAUUGAGACGAUGAAAUCAACUGAAAAGCUUAUUGAAAAAGAUUAUAGAGAGAGGGCGUCCGGCUUUAGGGGUAUUUUUGUCCUUUAGCCUCUGGAUUAUCCAGCAGAGAAAGAUUUGGUAUUCCUUACUCACUUGCGUCCGUCACAUUCUUCUCUACAAUUGAGUUUUAAAAACACGUUUAUACCCUCAUCCUUCAAAAAAUUUUCAGGGCCAUUGAUUAUCCUCCAUUCUUUCUUUCUUGGUUUUUUGUUGUUAAGAAUAUUAAUGAAUUAAAGGGAAAACCUGAGCGACCUGCGAGAUUUUAAUAAUAUCAGACGCCCUUUAUCAUAUUUACUGUGUAAUUAGUUUAAUCUAAGCAAUGAUAAGAUGGUUUUAUUAGUUUUUGAGCUGACUUUAACAUAUUUACUUGGCGAAUGGAUCUUUUAGUUUUUGAGCUGAUCUGGUUGUUCCUUUAUAAUCGUAGAUGGGAGGAUGGAGCUGGUUAUGAAUUACCAUGCAAAUAUAUGUCAUUUUUAUUCAACAAGAAGGCUUUAUUGAUUAAUUAUAUAGUUUCUUGAGAGCUGUUUUAUAUUCAUCUCUUCGCAAAAAGCUGAAUAAGCAAAUCCUUCUUUUUAGUUGUGUUCAGCUUAUAUUUAUACUGGGAAAUCUUUACCAUGUGAGAGCGAAAUCUUUAUUCUCUAUUCACGGUGUUUUGCUCCGCAUUGCUGUUUCAUAUUUUUUGAGCAUUAUAUUAUCCGCUCUUUAGCCUUACUUACUAGUGUGAUUUAGCAAAUCUGAAACGUGUUCUCAACGAGAAUGAAUGCUGUCAAAAUCAAGACAGGAGGUGGAGCAGUGGUUUGGUUUGAAUGAUUGUAUUGGAUAUGCAUUGAUUCGAUAUCAAUCUCUCUGAUUUUUGGUUUUCGUAUAGGCUUUUUGCUCACUGCUUAUGUCACCUCGCUUCUCAAUAUCACUUUGACAUGUCUGCCUUUGGUGCAG